AGUUUCUUCAACUACACACACCUGGUCUUCAUCACGCCACAGUAUUUAAGGAGCAGCGAGGUCAUCCAGUCUCGUCAUCGCACUUCUGUGGAUUGCUUGGCAAGCUGACAGAAGGACUUCACAUUUUCGCUCUGAGCGACUGGUCGAUAUGGAUCGUUUUCCAUCUUGGAGCCCACCAUCUACCUGCCUGCCUGCCUCCUCGCCCUCCGACGUUUGGGAACCACAGGACGCACCCCACACUCUGGUAUUCCCCGCCCUGCAACCUUUUCCCCUGGACCCCACACGAACUCUGCCUCCCUGGCCUUCUUCCCCGCGUGGUCCCAAACAUCCCUCUCAGCACCAGUUUCCUCUACAUGCUCACUGCCUUAAUAAAAC